GACAGAGGGUGCAAACGUUGUUCGGAUUUACUGGGCGUAAAGCGCGUGUAGGCGGCUUUGCAAGUCGGAUGUGAAAUCCCACGGCUCAACCGUGGAAGUGCAUCCGAAACUGCAUCGCUCGAGUCUCGGAGAGGAAGGUGGAAUGCUUGGUGUAGAGGUGAAAUUCGUAGAUAUCGGGAGGAACACCGGUGGCGAAGGCGACCAUCUGGACGGAUACUGACGCUGAGACGCGAAAGCGUGGGUAGCAAACAGG
rnacentral:rRNA from 1 species